rnacentral:rRNA from 1 species
GACGAACGCUGGCGGCGUGCUUAACACAUGCAAGUCGAACGGUGAAGCGCCUUCCUUUUUGGUGGGUGUGGAUGAGUGGCGAACGGGUGAGUAACACGUGAGUAACCUGCCCCCUUCUUCUGGAUAACCGCAUGAAAGUGUGGCUAAUACGGGAUAUUCUGGGUCUGUCGCAUGAUGGGUCUGGGAAAGAUAUUGUUUCGGUGGGGGAUGGGCUCGCGGCCUAUCAGCUUGUUGGUGGGGUGAUGGCCUGCCAAGGCGGUGACGGGUAGCCGGCCUGAGAAGGUGGACGGUCACACUGGGACUGAGACACGGCCCAGACUCCUACGGGAGGCAGCAGUGGGGAAUAUUGCACAAUGGGCGCAAGCCUGAUGCAGCGACGCCGCGUGAGGGAUGGAGGCCUUCGGGUUGUGAACCUCUUUCGCCAGUGAAGCAGGCCUGCCUCGUUUGUGGGUGGGUUGACGGUAGCUGGAUAAGAAGCGCCGGCUAACUACGUG